rnacentral:rRNA from 1 species
CGCCUGGGAAUUACGAGUAAGCUUAAAACCCAAAGGACUUGACGGUGUCCCAUUCCCCCUAGAGGAGCCUGUUCUAUAAUCGAUGAUCCCCGCUUUACCCUUCCACUUCUUGCUUUUCAGCCUGUAUACCUCCGUCGUAAGCUUGCCCUGUGAACGCUUAUUUAGCAAGCCCAAGGAUCUUAUCACCAACACGUCAGGUCAAGGUGCAGCCUAUGAAGUGGAAAGCAAUGGGCUACAAUUUCUAAAUUAGAACAAACGAAAAACUGCAUGAAAUACAGUUAGAAGGUGGAUUUAGUAGUAAAAAAGAAAUAGCGAGUCUUUUUUAAUCCGGCCCUGGGACGUG